UACGUAGGAUCCAAGCGUUAUCCGGAAUUACUGGGCGUAAAGCGUGAGCAGGUGGUGAAUCAGGUCAGAUACUAAAUCUUAGGGCUCAACCUUAAGCUGCGAUCUGAAACCGGUUUACUAGAGGUCGGUAGAGGCAAGCGGAAUUUGUAGUGUAGCAGUGAAAUGCGUAGAUAUUACAAGGAACACCAAUGGCGAAGGCAGCUUGCUGGGCCGCACCUGACACUCAGUCACGAAAGCGUGGGGAGCGAACAGG
rnacentral:rRNA from 1 species